rnacentral:rRNA from 1 species
CUACGGGACGCUCCAGUGAGGAAUAUUGCACAAUGGGGGGAACCCUGAUGCAGCAACGCCGCGUGGAGGAUGACGCAUUUCGGUGCGUAAACUCCUUUUAUAUGUCAAGAAAAUGACGGUAGCAUAUGAAUAAGCACCGGCUAACUCCGUGCCAGCAGCCGCGGUAAUACGGAGGGUGCAAGCGUUACUCGGAAUCACUGGGCGUAAAGGACGCGUAGGCGGGUUGGAAAGUCAGGUGUGAAAUCCUACAGCUUAACUGUAGAACUGCACUUGAAACUUCUAAUCUAGAGUAUGGGGAGGGGAGAUGGAAUUAGUGGUGUAGGGGUAAAAUCCGUAGAUAUCACUAGGAAUACCUAAAGCGAAGGCGAUCUCCUGGAACAUUACUGACGCUAAGGCGUGAAAGCGUGGGGAGCAAACAGGAUUAGAUACCCGGGUAGUC